CCUACGGGUGGCUGCAGUGGGGAAUAUUGGACAAUGGGCGAAAGCCUGAUCCAGCCAUGCCGCGUGUGUGAAGAAGGCCUUCGGGUUGUAAAGCACUUUCAGUGGGGAAGAAAGCCUUGGGGCUAAUACCCUCGAGGAAGGACAUCACCCACAGAAGAAGCACCGGCUAACUCCGUGCCAGCAGCCGCGGUAAUACGGAGGGUGCGAGCGUUAAUCGGAAUUACUGGGCGUAAAGCGCGCGUAGGCGGUCUGAUAAGCCGGUUGUGAAAGCCCCGGGCUCAACCUGGGGACGGCAUCCGGAACUGUCAGGCUAGAGUGCAGGAGAGGAAGGUAGAAUUCCCGGUGUAGCGGUGAAAUGCGUAGAGAUCGGGAGGAAUACCAGUGGCGAAGGCGGCCUUCUGGACUGACACUGACGCUGAGGUGCGAAAGCGUGGGUAGCAAACAGGAUUAGAUACCCUAGUAGUC
rnacentral:rRNA from 1 species